GUCUAGUAACUGAAUAGCUCAGUCGGUAGCUCAUGAGACUCUUAAUUUCAGGUUUGUGGGUUCGAGCUCCACACUGGGCA